ensembl:lncRNA
AAAUGUGAAUCAUGGAUACCGCGUCCUCCGGACAAAAGAGAAGAGGGACAAUAUGGCUUCUUAUCAGCGCACAGUUCAAAAGCCAGCAUCCGUGAUGGUAUGUGGGUGCAUAAGUGCACAUACUGUAGCUUGAGUGACUUGCACAUCGGUGAAGGCACCAUUACUGCUGAACAAUAUAUACAGGUUUUGGAGCAAAAUAUGCUGUCAUCCAGACAAAGUAUUUUUCAGGGAAGGACAUGCUUAUUUCAGCAAGAAAAUGCCAAACCACAUUCUGCACAUAUUUCAACAGCAUGGCUUCAUAGUAAAACAGUCUGGUGCUAAACUGACCUCCCUGCAUUCCAGACCUGUCACACAUUGAAAACAUUUGGCGCUUUAUGAAACAAAAAAUAUGACAAAGCAGAGCCCAAACUGUUGAGCAGCUGAAAUCCUAUAUCAAGCAAGAAUGGGAAAACAUUUCACUUUCAAAACUACAUCAAUUGAUCUCGAGUUCCCAAACGCUUACAGAGUACUGUUAAAAGAAGAGGUGAUACAACACAGUGGUAACCCUGCCCCUGUCCCAACUUUUUCUGAACAUGUCACUGGCAUCAAAUUCAAAAUGGGCAUAUAUAUUUCCAAAAACAAAAACAUUUCACAAUUUCAACAUUUGAUAUGUUGUCUGUACUAUUUUCAAUAAUACAGGUAUAAAUUAUUUGCACAACAUUGCAUUCUGUUUUUAUUUGCAUUUCAUGCAGCGUCCUAAAAACGCUGGUUGUAUAUACUUUUUGAAGUAAACAAAAUAGUUAAUGUACACUCCCAGUCAAAGGUUUGGACACACUGUGUCCAGGUUUGUGUCCAAACUUUUGACUGGAACUGUAUAUUAAUAUUAAAACAAAUACACAUUAUAUUUGGAAAAAAAGGCUUCUCUAUACAAGAGAGAGGACGACCUACAGGUAGUUAUGAGCAACUCUCAAGAGAACAUUUUGAAAACAGCCAAAAUAUCAAUGUGCUACGGAUCAUUGCUUAGAAAUGAUCUCUAAAGAGCUGCGGGGAUGGAAUCCCGUGUAGGUCAAUGUUGGACGGGGAGCGUGGAGUCCGGAGGGUCUGAGGUGUAGUCCCAAACUCCAAGCUGUGCAGGUUCCCUUGGCUCCGGGAGCGCGAGAGCAGAAGGGAGGGCAGGUUUGUGUAACGCUGGGUUUUCCUUCCUAUUUUGGACGACCACUUCCCAC